rnacentral:rRNA from 1 species
GUGGAUUAGAUACCCUAGUAGUCCACGCCGUAAACGAUGGAUACUAGCUGUUGGGAGCAAUUUCAGUGGCUAAGCGAAAGUGAUAAGUAUCCCACCUGGGGAGUACGUUCGCAAGAAUGAAACUCAAAGGAAUUGACGGGGGCCCGCACAAGCGGUGGAGCAUGUGGUUUAAUUCGAUGAUACGCGAGGAACCUUACCAAGGCUUAAAUGUAGAUUGACAGGACUGGAAACAGUUUUUUCUUCGGACAAUUUACAAGGUGCUGCACGGUCGUCGUCAACU